rnacentral:rRNA from 1 species
AACGAACGCUGGCGGCGUGCUUAACACAUGCAAGUCGAGCGGUAAGGCCCUUUCGGGGGUACACGAGCGGCGAACGGGUGAGUAACACGUGGGUGACCUGCCCUCAGCUCUGGGAUAAGCCUGGGAAACCGGGUCUAAUACCGGAUAUGACUCCAUGACGCAUGUUGUGGGGUGGAAAGCCUUGUGCGGCUGAGGAUGGGCCCGCGGCCUAUCAGCUUGUUGGUGGGGNGAUGGCCUACCAAGGCGACGACGGGUAGCCGGCCUGAGAGGGCGACCGGCCACACUGGGACUGAGACACGGCCCAGACUCCUACGGGAGGCAGCAGUGGGGAAUCUUGCGCAAUGGGCGAAAGCCUGACGCAGCGACGCCGCGUGAGGGAUGAC